AUGUGUGCCUCCUGAGCCGUAUACUCGUGUGCUUGUCGAAUAAUCCGUGUGCCGGCUGAAUAUGUGUGCCUUCGCUGGAGCGUACUACGUUGUUCCGCGCUCCGCCCGUGAGGAGUGACGUGGCACCGCGUAUUCUACCGCAGUGCAUUCGUCGCUGCGUUCGUGCCUGUUAUGUGCGCUGCAACCUCGCCUUUGAAAGGACGACGACAACCUUGCUUUCUAAUUACAAGUUUAAUGUUUGCUUAAGACGAUGGACACGUUGCAAAUGGCAGGAGUGGAUCGGCUACAUCGGUGAAGCGACGAUUUAUAUUACAAGAGAGGCUAAUUGUAUUCUUUCGUUACAGGUGAACGUGGGACUGUAUCGACUGCAAGGACGUAGUGUGUCCUGUCUCAACGGUCACACAUAUGCGUGCAAAACUGCAACUGCAACUGCUUCUCACAUCGAAGAGGGGUCUGGUGCCACAUGCUCGGACAAUUAUUCGUCGGCCAUUUCGUUUGGGGAACUGUCGUGUUCGUCACUAAGGAUGGCCUUGGUUGAGCUUUGCAGUGCCAGCCUGGUGCAUCGGAGGGGUUGUGUCCAUUCAACGUGUGCUUCAUAUGUGUGUGUUGGGAUUAGUGAACCGUGUAUGCUCUCCAUUCAGCCAACGAUGAUGUACUGGAUGAAAUUUAAAGAGCAUUCAAGAAAACCUGUGAAGCGAAAAAGCCGCUGCUCCUUGCUCGCUCUUUCGCUGCUCCUUGAGGGCACAUUAAGCUUUGGCACACUUUGAUAUACUGAAUUAUGUAUGAGUAAUUCAACUCCUCAUUUAUUGGACUGCGUACAUGUACAUAGAUUCACAGUUUCUGGCUGCUGGCAUUUGUGAGAACUAUAGCAUCUAUCUCUCAAGUAGCACAUGUAUUACUUGACAACACCUUUUUGAAGGGUGUAAUAUUACCAGGGGUGUUAAAUUACACCCUAAAGGGAGUGAGUUAUAGCACUUUUGGAUUACACCCUAAAGGAUGUUUUUGAAGUAUCAAAUUACACCCUUUUUUGAGGUUGUAGUCGGUU